rnacentral:tRNA from 2 species
GGGCACUUAGCUCAGCUGGUUAGAGCGCAUGGUUUACAUCCAUGAGGUCGGGGGUUCGAAGCCCUCAGUGCCCACCA